rnacentral:tRNA from 1 species
GGGAUUAUAAUUUAAUUAAAAUAAUUGAUUUGCAAUCAAUUUAUAUUGAAUACAUCAAUUUAUCUUA